AACGAACGCUGGCGGCAUGCCUAACACAUGCAAGUCGAACGAAGGCUUCGGCCUUAGUGGCGCACGGGUGAGUAACGCGUGGGAAACUGCCUAUUGGUGGGGAAUGACGACGGGAAACUGUCGCUAAUACCGCAUAAGCCCUUCGGGGGAAAGAUUUAUCGCCGACAGAUGUGCCCGCGUCCGAUUAGCUAGUUGGUGAGGUAAUGGCUCACCAAGGCGACGAUCGGUAGCUGGUCUGAGAGGAUGAUCAGCCACACUGGGACUGAGACACGGCCCAGACUCCUACGGGAGGCAGCAGUGGGGAAUAUUGGACAAUGGGCGAAAGCCUGAUCCAGCAAUGCCGCGUGAGUGAUGAAGGCCUUAGGGUUGUAAAGCUCUUUUGGGUGGGACGAUGAUGACGGUACCACCAGAAGAAGCCCCGGCUAACUUCGUGCCAGCAGCCGCGGUAA
rnacentral:rRNA from 1 species